GUGUGCUGCUGUCCCCCUCCCACCUCGUCUCUCCCCACAGGGCAAGGCUGGCCAGGCUGGGCAGACGGGACAGCGAGGGCCCCCGGGCCUGCCGGGGGAGCGAGGGCUGCCCGGCCCCACAGGGAAACCCGGCCCAAAGGUUUGUAGGAACUUGGUUUUGGGGUCCUCCUCGGCCCCGCUGUGUCCCCCCCCCCCUUGCUGCCACCCUUUUUCUGUCUCCCCAGGGGGAUCCUGGCCACGACGGGGCCCCCGGCGUUGUGGGGGAAAAGGGCCCUCAAGGUCCGCAGGGUCCCCACGGCUUCCCAGGCACCAAAGGGCCCCCUGUAAGUUUUUUUUUGGGGGGGGGGCAGCGGGAUUUUGGCAUGUCCCCCUGCCCUCCCCUCCAUAACCCCCUGCUCCUGCCUAGGGCCCCCCCGGGAAGGACGGCUUGCCGGGACACCCAGGACAGCGUGGCG
rnacentral:lncRNA from 1 species